rnacentral:rRNA from 1 species
UACAGAGGUCUCAAGCGUUGUUCGGAUUUACUGGGCGUAAAGGGUGCGUAGGCGGUCGGCUAAGUCGAAUGUGAAAGCCCGUGGCUCAACCACGGAAUUGCAUUCGAUACUGGUUGACUUGAGGACUGGAGAGGAGACUGGAAUUCACGGUGUAGCAGUGAAAUGCGUAGAGAUCGUGAGGAAGGCCAGUGGCGAAAGCGGGUCUCUGGACAGUUCCUGACGCUGAGGCACGAAGGCCAGGGGAGCGAACGGG